AUUAGUUAUUCACCCUAUUAAGCAAAAUGAGAAUAUCUGAGUUUUUAAAAUAUUACCAUUUUUUUCAAAUCAGUGAGGCUGGGAGAAGGAUAUUGGCUCAGGGCAAUUUCUUGGUUUUACACUUUGGUGGCCAUUUAUAAGAAAACCAUCUAGCAAAGUUGCCUCUAAUCCUUUUGAUUUCCAUAACACUCUAUGAUCCACUACCUCUAAGAGUGCACUGUUUAAUAUCUGUAUAAUAAUUUGACUCCUAUUUUGUCCAUGCUUCCUCUUUUGCUUUUGCAGCAUACGGAGGUUCCCAGGAUAGGGGUCUGAUCGGAGCUGUAGCCAUUGGCCUAAGCCACAGCCACAGCAAUGCCAGAUCCGAGCCGCAUCUGGCAAGGCCAAUCCUUAACCCACUGAGCAACGCCACGGAUCAAACCCACAAUCACACGGUUUCUAGUCGGAUUCAUUUCUGCUGCGCCAUGACAGGAACUCAUAAAUAUUUUUAAAGCUUCUAGACAACAGACACUUGAAUUCCUAUGUGAAUAUCUGGAAAUCUGUGUUGCAGAGCUAUUUGGCAAUUUCCCAUUUUCCCUUUCUGUGGUCAUUCACUUGUCAGAAUUUCUUUUUCCUUUUCUUCCCUUAUCAAAGUGAGGCCAUCCAAGACUCUGUGUCAUCAUGCUUAAUCCUAUCAGCCAUGGACGAAUACUUGUGGAAGUAAUUUAUGCAAAAGCGCUACUGGGUCCAAGCAUCUCCCUCCCAAGAUGUAUUUUUAAGAAGUUUAGAGGGAAUGAUGCUGUAAUGAGAGACCAGCAAAACAAGCACAAAGUCAACGUAAAGAAAAUAUUCUGAAAAACAGUUCUCAGAAACCUGAAACCUGAAAUUCUUGAGCAAUUAAAUCUGAAUUAGGCAAGGAAUACUGUCAGAGAUAUGUCACAGCAGGAAGAUGAGUAUGUAAAGAGCUCUUUAAAGGGGCGAACUUGCCAGGUAGGUGAGGAGAGUCUAGGAUGAUAUUUGGCAAGAUGUAUGUGCAAAGAAUCAGAUUAUGGAUUAUCUAAGGCUAGACAUCUGCCUAUCUAAAUUGAUAACAUGGCCAAUGUGUGUUGGACACAAUUGGAUUCUAAGUUUCCCAAUACUUAUCCUGAACUUAUUUUUUAAGAUUCUGUUUCCUGUGGCCACAGUUUUCUAUCACAUAGUAGAGGCAAAUAUUUAAUCAAUAAAGACCUGUUGACUCAAUGAAUCCUCUUCAUGAUCGCUACUUUUUUUUUUACAUAUUGGUCCAGAUAUGUGGAUUUUUCUACACAGAGAAAUAUACUGCAUCAAAGAAUAUAAGAGCAGACCAUCCUGCCUCAGUGAUGGUUUAGAGAGGAAUACGUAGAUAAACAGAUAGACUGAUACAUUGAUACAUGAUAUAGUUGUAGUUGUUGUUGUUUCCUAAACAGAGAACAUUCUCCUACCCCAAACUGAACUUUAUAUGGAGCAGGAAUAUAUAAAAUAUACAAAAGUAGAGCUUGCACCUUUUUUUUUUUUUUAAUGUAUGCAGGACAUAGCUUCUCUUAUUAAUAAAUCCUAUGGUACUGUAACUGCUAGAAAGCUAUCCAUUGUUUUGGCUCAGUCAACCCUUUUUACAAGUAAAGGGUACUAAGGCCCUGGGGCAAAUUACCUAAACACACAGGAAUUUCUAAAGCUAGGGUAGGAACUAAUUCCCCCUGAUUCUGGCGUGGUGUUCUUUCUGGUACAUUAUACUGCUUGUUUACACACUUCUGAAUUUAGCUCUUUCCUUUUAUUUCUUUUGAUUUGUUUACUUGCUUGCUGUUGGUUGGUUUAGGUGUUUUCAGGUUCUAACAUUGGCAAGCUACCACAGUAUGCUUUCUGAUUUAGUACUUUUUCCAGUCUUUAUUGUUGUCCCUAAAAAUCUAGUUUAUGCUAUUACUAACAAACUUUGGGUCAAAUAUCGAGCAAAACACAUUCACCAAGUUUAAUCGAUCUGAUCAAAAGUUGAAAGUAAUGUGGUUUGACACGUCACAACAAACAAUGGAGUCACAAAUUUGAAGAUAAAAAUCCUAUAAAAAACAAUUUACUUAACAUGUUCUGUACUUGGUUUCAUUCUUUUAUAAGACUGAAGUCAGUUAUGAUAAAGUUAUAUUUUUGCAAUUAAUUAAAAGCUACAAGUUGAUGGUGUUCUAAUGCAGGAUCCAUUGGUCAUGAAGGAAAUAAAAGGACCUCAGAUAUCUAAAGUGAAUUUUAAGGAGAGAAAAUAGCAGACAUAGGUGGAAAAUAUGGAAUUUUUAAAAACUACACUAGUAAUUAAGACAAUAUAAAAGUCUGGACUUUUGGUUAAAAAAAACGAAACAAAACAAAACACACUUUUAACUAAGGGUACCCUCUAAAAGAUUUCAUCUUUACCUUUCCAAAAAAAAGGAUCAAAUUACCAUCUUCUCACUUGAAUAAAUUCACAACUGACACUCAGUGUGCAUGUUUUGGAGGUUGCUGCGAAACAGCUAAGACCUAAGCACAGCAUUACUUUAAAUGAUCACUAUACAUAAUUUAUCACUGAUCUUUGUUAUGUUAUUAUCAUUAAGAAGUUGGUUGGCUUCGUUUGGUCCUUAGAAAAGAAGUGACAGUAUUCCCUGUAAUACAGCAACACUGAUAGAUAUUUGAAAAUUUAAAGUUCAGUAAAUUAAACCAAAAUCUUACAUUUCCAAAAGGCUGAAAACUAUAGAUAGAUAUAUUUCAGAUAAAUUAUAUUCUUUAGAUGGCCAUAAUGAAAGUGAUGAAGCUGGUGUCAGCUUGAGGACAUUUAACUCUGGGACUCAGCGAGUCGAUAUGUAGCGAGAAUGGGAUCCCAGGAGUCAGACAGCCUGGCUUGGAUCUCAGCUCUAUUGGUGUAACUCUAGAUUGGUAGCUGAAUUCUCUAACUCACAGUUUCUUUACUUGGUGGACACUAGUAUAAAUGAGGGUGUGUUGUGUGGACACUAGUAUAAACGAGGACACUAUUAACACAUAGAGUCCCUAGGAAUGUGUAAAGUGCAUUCUUGAUAAAAUAAAGGGGUUGUGAUAGUCAUUGUCACUACUUAAAAAGAAUUUGAUUUCCAAAAUAAAUCCUAUUUAUAAAUCCUAUAUAAAUCCUAUUUACAAAAUAGGUUAUAAAAUAUUGAGUACUUUACUCAGUCAUUUGUUUGCAUUUCAAAACAACCCACAACGUAGUAUGAAAGUAUAGAGAUUAUACACUUUUUUGUGUACAGGUGACCCUUGAACAAUGCAGGGGUUAGGGACCAAAAAAACAAAACAAACAAAAAGAAAUCUGCAUGUAAGUGGACCCAUGCAGCUCAAACCUGUGUUAUUCAAGGGUCAACUCUAUUUCAUUUUUACAAAUUAAAGAUUAUAGAUUCAUAUGAAGAGCAAAACAAAAUACUGAAUCAUCUAUUGUGAAAGACCUGCCCCCAAACCCUUUGUUGUUAUGGUUUUUGUUUAUUGUUACUGGUGUGCUCUCAUGUGCAUACAGAGACUGAAAGAGGAUAAGGGACUUCCUCGGAUGCACACCAUUACCUGUUGGUCCUCUGUGGCCCAGUUUCUAUCCAUCUUCCACCCAGGGCCAAGGGUAGCAAAGGAAGAGGCUCAAAGCCAAGAGUCAGGCCCAGGGACACAUGUCAACCCAGCUGGCAAGGAAGCACUCUGUAGUAGUUUUCUCCCACGCCCUAACCCGUUCGACAUUUCUCCAGUAAAUACUGGAAAGAGAUGAACUCAACUCCCACAGGCUUGGAAAUGGAGCAUAUCUCCCCGUGCUUUUGCCCAAUAGGGUGAGCAAAGCUGGAUCACAGUCUAGGGCCAUUACUUCCAAAGGGAGCGACGCAUGGCGUCUGACCACCAGUCACCAAGGAAACAUUUCUUAAAAGGCCACUGCUGUGAAAACGCGAUAUGAAAGCAGAAACAUUUUGAUUCUCAUGGAAAAUAGCUCAGUAAACAUUCCAUCCUAUUUCACAGCAAAUAUGUUCCACCCACUUGCCCACAACCCUUGUCUGCUCUCCUCUGGGGUACUUUCAGCUUUUAAAAAAUUGAAUAAAAAUAAAAGAAAACAAUAAAUAACUUCCUUCCUUCCUUCUUUCCUUCCUUCCCUUCCUUCCUUCUUUCCUUUCUUCCAUCCCACCGCCCCCCUUCUUUCUCUCCUUUUCAAAUUUCCAUAUGGCUAGGGUUUCUUUUAAUAACUCUAGUCCCAUUAUACUCAGUAGUACUUAAUGGAAAAACAGCCGCUCCCAUUGCUGGAAAAGGUAAAACUCAAUUCAUGAUUAAUGCUUUCAAGAUACCCAGAAAAAAAAAAAAAAAAUCAAGGUUAUUACUAGAAAGUCAGAUCAGUCCCUUUGUAUUCAUUCCAACAGCUGUUUGACAUGAAUGGAGGCCAAGUAAGGAAAGUUCAGGUAAAUAUGUCAAUUUAGCUGAGUUAUUCAGGGGUCAAAGAGGGGUUAGGUACUUGUGGGGGGAUGGUGUUCCAUUUAUCCUUAAAAGGAAAUUUUUAAUGUAAAAAAGGAAGCCUCCUUGUUUUAUAGAUCAUAUUUUAGACACAGAAAAAUGUGACCAUUUUAUGCUUGCAUUACACCAGAGAAUGCGUGGCUAAAUUAAGAGCCUUGCUCAGGGUCCCGACUGGCCAGUGAACCCAUCAAAAUCAGAGGCCUGGCCCCUUUGUG
rnacentral:lncRNA from 1 species